rnacentral:rRNA from 1 species
UACGGAGGGGGCUAGCGUUGUUCGGAAUUACUGGGCGUAAAGCGCGCGUAGGCGGAUCUGCAAGUCGGGGGUGAAAUCCCGAGGCUCAACCUCGGAACUGCCUUCGAUACUGCGGGUCUCGAGUCCGGGAGAGGUGAGUGGAAUUCCUAGUGUAGAGGUGAAAUUCGUAGAUAUUAGGAAGAACACCAGUGGCGAAGGCGGCUCACUGGCCCGGGUACUGACGCUGAGGCGGCGAAAGCGU